rnacentral:rRNA from 1 species
GACGAACCGUACGAACGUUAUUCGGAAUCACUGGGCUUAAAGGGUGCGUAGGCGGCGCGACAAGUUGGGUGUGAAAUCCCUCGGCUCAACCGAGGAACUGCGCCCAAAACUGUCGUGCUCGAGGGAGACAGAGGUGAGCGGAACUUAGGGUGGAGCGGUGAAAUGCGUUGAUAUCCUAAGGAACACCGGUGGCGAAAGCGGCUCACUGGGUCUCUUCUGACGCUGAGGCACGAAAGCUAGGGUAGCGAACGGGG